GGGCCUGUGGCCAAGUCUGGAUAUAAGGCAUCCGGCUUUUAACCGGGAGAUCAGGGGUUCAAAUCCCCUUGGGCCCA
rnacentral:tRNA from 1 species